rnacentral:rRNA from 1 species
UACGUAGGCAGCGAGCGUUGUUCGGAGUUACUGGGCGUAAAGCGUGCGUAGGCGGUGCUCCAAGUCUGUUGUGAAAUCUCCCGGCUUAACUGGGAGGGUGCGGCGGAAACUGGGGUGCUGGAGUGCGGGAGAGGUAAGCGGAAUUCCCGGUGUAGCGGUGAAAUGCGUAGAUAUCUGGAGGAAUACCGGUGGCGAAGGCGGCAUCCUGGACCGGCAUUGACGCUGAUGAGCGAAAGCUAGGGGAGCAAACGGG